GCCAAGUAAGGCUCAAUGGUAGAGCAUACCUGUCUAGCAAGCACAAAUCCCUGAGUUCAAACCCCAGUACUGGCC
rnacentral:tRNA from 1 species